rnacentral:rRNA from 1 species
AGUGAACGCUGGCGGUAGGCCUAACACAUGCAAGUCGAACGGCAGCACAGUAAGAGCUUGCUCUUACGGGUGGCGAGUGGCGGACGGGUGAGGAAUACAUCGGAAUCUACUUUUUCGUGGGGGAUAACGUAGGGAAACUUACGCUAAUACCGCAUACGACCUACGGGUGAAAGCAGGGGAUCUUCGGACCUUGCGCGAUUGAAUGAGCCGAUGUUGGAUUAGCUAGUUGGCGGGGUAAAGGCCCACCAAGGCGACGAUCCGUAGCUGGUCUGAGAGGAUGAUCAGCCACACUGGAACUGAGACACGGUCCAGACUCCUACGGGAGGCAGCAGUGGGGAAUAUUGGACAAUGGGCGCAAGCCUGAUCCAGCCAUACCGCGUGGGUGAAGAAGGCCUUCGGGUUGUAAAGCCCUUUUGUUAGGAAAGAAAAGCAGCAGGUUAAUACCCCGCUGUUCUGACGGUACCCAAAGAAUAAGCACCGGCUAACUUCGUG